AGAGCGAACGUUAGCGGCGGGCCUAACACAUGCAAGUCGAACGCGAAAGGGAUUCGUCCCCAGUAGCGUGGCGUCCGGGUGAGUAACACGUAGGAAAUCUUCCCUCGAGCGGGGGAUAACGUCCCGAAAGGGACGCUAAUACCGCAUAAGCCCACGACCACUUCGGUGGAUGAGGGAAAAGCUGGCCACUGUAUACAAGCUAGCACUUGAGGAUGAUCCUGCGGCGCAUCAGCUAGUUGGUGAGGUAAUGGCUCACCAAGGCUUAGACGCGUAGCUGGUCUGAGAGGAUGAUCAGCCACACUGGCACUGAAACACGGGCCAGACUCCGUACGGGACGCGAG
rnacentral:rRNA from 1 species